CCACCCCCACGCCCACACACAACCCACCUCCUCUCCCACCUUCUUCCUCCUGUGGUUGCCAGAGCCUCGCAUCGCCAUGCUUUCCUCUGCGCACCGUCCACCCGACGCCGCCCCGAUCCACGGAGCCACCGCAGCCACCUCCGCCUUGCCCUGAAGUCGCCGCUGUCGCUGCGAAGGCCCUGCGCCACCAUCUAGACAUGGCCGCACCUCUACAAACGGCCUCCGCGCCUCCCCUUCCCCACCCCAAAUCGCCUCCAUGCCCCAAGCCACGCCCGACGACUGCCGUGCAUCCCCUCCCCCACCACAUCGUGUCAUCACCCCCACACCCCACCUCGGCCGCCACCUCAUGGCCCGUGCCGCCAGCCUCCCUCGCAGCCACAUCCGCACCGCCACUCUCCCGGGGCACCACCGCACCUCUCACAGCGUCGGAUCCAGCGGUAGCCGCACCGCCGCGCGCUCAUCUCGGUGGACAGUGCCUCAUCUCAGUGGAGUACAACGGUGGAGGGCAAAGGCCCAUGGCGGUAUCGAGCCUCCACCAGUCCCCACAGUGCAGGGGCCGUCAUGGCAGCUCUUCUCCUGGGCCCCCUUCUCCUCCCCCCACGGCGGUGAUUGCCUCUCCAGCUCUGACUCCUCCAUCUCCAUACAUGUGCCCCGGACCAGCCAUGUUCGAUGUAUGGUACCGGUGGCUCUCUUUCAACACCUCCUACUCCACCGCUCCAACAUACCCCUCCAGCAAGUCGCCUGGCACACCAAACCUACCUCCUGUGGCAGCGGCCCGGGAAAAGAUCGGACCCCGGUGAGAUCCGAUUGUGGACUUCUUCUCGGGUGUGCAGUUCGGCCCCCAGCGGUGAUGCAGUGCAGCUCCAGAUCCGCCGGAGAUCUAUGGCAUCGCUCCGAGCAUUGUCGAAGAGCGUCGUGGAGGUUGCGUUUGCCGGUGACGCCCCCUCCACAACUCAUGGUGUCCAAGCUAGGUCCACUAGCCGACGCCUCGAUCCCCUUUGCAUCUUCAUUCAUGCGAGGGAUCCUCCUGGAUCCAUGUUCUCACCUCCAUGGUUGUGUGCGUUCCUGUAGUAGAAUACGAGGAGAGCGACGACGCGCAUAGGUGAUAUGCAGAGAGCAUAAACACAGGAGAAAAGGGGAGAAGGAAGAACUUCAUCGGUUUAGUUCUCUGCCCAGUGCAGUUUAUUUUUGCUGUUCGUUGAUUUAGCAGGAGAGUAUAAGAAGUUCUCCGCCCAGUGUCAUUCUGCUGGGGAUUAUGUCGCAUAUUUUGUUGUGCACUAUGGCACAUGGUUCUUUUUAUUUUAUCUAUUUUGUGCAGUAAGAAA